rnacentral:rRNA from 1 species
AAGCGUAGCUAAUACCGCAUACGCCCUACGGGGGAAAGCAGGGGAUCGCAAGACCUUGCACUAUUAGAGCGGCCGAUAUCGGAUUAGCUAGUUGGUGGGGUAACGGCUCACCAAGGCGACGAUCCGUAGCUGGUUUGAGAGGACGACCAGCCACACUGGGACUGAGACACGGCCCAGACUCCUACGGGAGGCAGCAGUGGGGAAUUUUGGACAAUGGGGGAAACCCUGAUCCAGCCAUCCCGCGUGUGCGAUGAAGGCCUUCGGGUUGUAAAGCACUUUUGGCAGGAAAGAAACGUCAUGGGCUAAUACCCCGUGAAACUGACGGUACCUGCAGAAUAAGCACCGGCUAACUACGUU